GAGGGAAAGAACCCACCAGGGAUUGCCUCAGUAACGGCGAGUGAAGCGGCAACAGCUCAAAUUUGAAAUCUGGCCUCUUCGGGGUCCGAGUUGUAAUUUGUAGAGGGUGUUUCGGGUGAGGCGCCGGCCUAAGUUCCUUGGAACAGGGCGUCAUAGAGGGUGAGAAUCCCGUAUGCGGCCGGCGACCAACCCCGUGUGAAACCCCUUCGACGAGUCGGGUUGUUUGGGAAUGCAGCUCUAAAUGGGUGGUAAAUUUCAUCUAAAGCUAAAUACCGGCCAGAGACCGAUAGCGCACAAGUAGAGUGAUCGAAAGAUGAAAAGCACUUUGGAAAGAGAGUUAAAAAGUACGUGAAAUUGUUGAAAGGGAAGCGCUUGCAACCAGACCUGUGUUCGGGUGAUCAGCCGCCGUUCUCGGCGGUGUAUUCGCCCGGUGCAGGCCAGCAUCGGUUCGGGCGGUCGGAUAAAGGCCUUGGGAACGUGGCUCCCCUCGGGGAGUGUUAUAGCCCUCGGUGCAAUGCGGCCAGCCUGGACCGAGGACCGCGCUUCGGCUAGGAUGCUGGCGUAAUGGUCGUAAGCGGCCCGUCUUGAAACACGGACCAAGGAGUCUAACAUCUAUGCGAGUGUUUGGGUGUCAAACCCAUGCGCGGAAUGAAAGUGAACGGAGGUGAGAACCCUGAAGGGCGCAUCAUCGACCGAUCCAGAUGUCUUCGGAUGGAUUUGAGUAAGAGCAUAGCUGUUGGGACCCGAAAGAUGAUGAACUAUGCCUGAAUAGGGUGAAGCCAGAGGAAACUCUGGUGGAGGCUCGCAGCGGUA
rnacentral:rRNA from 1 species